rnacentral:rRNA from 1 species
UACGUAGGGGGCGAGCGUUGUCCGGAAUUACUGGGCGUAAAGCGCGCGUAGGUGGCUUGUUAAGACCGAUGUGAAAUCUCCGCGCUUACCGUGGAGAGGUCGUUGGUGACUGGCAGGCUUGGGUUUGGCAGAGGUGAGUGGAAUUCCGGGUGGAGCGGUGAAAUGCGUAGAGAUCCGGAGGAACACCAGUGGCGAAGGCGGCUCACUGGGCCAACACCGACGCUGAGGCGCGAAAGCUAGGGGAGCAAACGGG